UCGCUGACGAGUGGCGGACGGGUGAGUAAUGCUUGGGAACUUGCCUUUGCGAGGGGGAUAACAGUUGGAAACGACUGCUAAUACCGCAUAAUGUCUACGGACCAAACGGGGCUUAGGCUCCGGCGCAAAGAGAGGCCCAAGUGAGAUUAGCUAGAUGGUGAGGUAAAGGCUCACCAUGGCAACGAUCUCUAGCUGUUCUGAGAGGAAGAUCAGCCACACUGGGACUGAGACACGGCCCAGACUCCUACGGGAGGCAGCAGUGGGGAAUAUUGCACAAUGGGGGAAACCCUGAUGCAGCCAUGCCGCGUGUGUGAAGAAGGCCUUCGGGUUGUAAAGCACUUUCAGUUGUGAGGAAAGGGUGUUGGUUAAUACCCAAUAUCUGUGACGUUAACAACAGAAGAAGCACCGGCUAACUCCGUGCCAGCAGCCGCGGUAAUACGGAGGGUGCGAGCGUUAAUCGGAAUUACUGGGCGUAAAGCGCACGCAGGCGGUUUGUUAAGCUAGAUGUGAAAGCCCCGGGCUCAACCUGGGACGGUCAUUUAGAACUGGCAGACUAGAGUCUUGGAGAGGGGAGUGGAAUUCCAGGUGUAGCGGUGAAAUGCGUAGAUAUCUGGAGGAACAUCAGUGGCGAAGGCGACUCCCUGGCCGAAGACUGACGCUCAUGUGCGAAAGUGUGGGUAGCGAACAGGAUUAGAUACCCUGGUAGUCCACACCGUAAACGCUGUCUACUAGCUGUGUGUGAAUUUAAUUCGUGCGUAGCGAAGCUAACGC
rnacentral:rRNA from 1 species